rnacentral:tRNA from 1 species
GGCCUCGUAGCUCAGCUGGUAGAGUGUGUGCGUGCAAAGCGUUGGAGGCGUCCAUGCGUGAGUUCGAAUCUCACCGAGGGUA